rnacentral:rRNA from 1 species
AUGUGGGCGUGCCGAUCGUUUCUCCGUCGACCCAACCCCCUGAGCAUCCCUCGUACCCUCCGACCAGCUAUCCACCGUCAGGACGCAAACCAGAGGACGACGGUUCAUGGCAAGAACCAUCUGACCGCAUCACCACGGAGGCACGUCUCGGACGCCGCCAACAGGGAUCCGCAUCACCCGGCCGCGGCGACGACGACGACGAGGCGGCAUCUGUACGUGGUGCUGGAUGACCACAAGCACGAGUACGGCAUCUACAAGCUGGACGUCGGCGGCGAUCUGGACGGCGACCACGACGUCGGCUCCGACCCUGACUCUGCCCGCCGUCUUCCCGAUCCCGCCGUCAUCCGCGUGGAAGUGCCAACCGCCAUAGAAGAUCUAGCCGCACGGUUCGCCGCCCUGGGCAGCUGCAUCAUCACCACGGGCUCCAGCCCAAACACUUACGGCCUAAGGGAAGAGCACUACGGCGUCACCUUGGUCUACGACACCGACACGGCGGCGCUCUCGGUCGCGUGCAACGUCCCCAAAGGCCUGCGCGACGGCUUCCGCGAGGCCGUGGCCGCCGGGGGCAGGCUGUACGCGUUCGAGGACGUGACGGAGCUGCACGACGAACGCGGCUGGGAGAUCGAGCCCCUUCGGCCCUGCCCGGGAGGCAUGCACUGCAUGACCACGGACCGCGGCAGGGACGCCGACGAGAGCCGGUGGUGCUGGCUGCCUUUCUCCGGCUCCUCGCGGUGCUUCUGGAGCGCCGACCCUGAGUCGCCCCCCUUCUUCCCCGAGGCGAUGGUGGCGCACGCGGAGGCCGGGCGCGCCAUCUUCGUGUCCGCAAGCGCGUUUCACAACGACGUCCGGACCUUCUCCUACGACACGGCGAGAGACGACUGGACGCGCUGCGGCGGCUGGGCGUUGCCGUUCGUAGGCCGCGCCGGCUACGACGCCGAGCUGGACGCCUGGGUCGGGCUCCACCGUAAGGGCUACGACACGGACGGGCACCUCUGUGUCUGCCGCGUUCCAGUUCCGACGAGCGACCUCGACCGGACCCCGCAACCGCAGUGGAAGAUCGGCGGGGAGAAGGUGAUCCUCGAGCACCCGGACUGGAGGCACGUCGACGCCAAGCUCGUGCACAUGGCCGAGCGCGGCCAGCACUGCCUCGUCGAGCGCCUGCGACGCGAGGGGACCGACGAGAAGGAGAGCCUGCCCGACGGCGACGAGUGUCUGCUAGUGGUGACCACGUUUCAAGUCAAGUACGGCGACGACGGGGAGCUCGUCACGAGCGCGGACCGCCGGUACGCCCGCACUUACAAGGUGUCGCGGUACCGUGAUGACUUUGAGGUUGCAGCCUUCUGGAUAUGA